GAGAAUGAACUGAGUAAAACUUCCUGGCCUGCAAACUUGUUUGCUAAAGUGUGGCUUCCUCCUCACCAGCAGCAUAGGGUCUUCCUCGGGCAGCGGCGUGUUUGCGAUUCCGCUUAGGGUAUUGUUUAAUCAAGAUGGGACGGUGAGCCCUGUGUGAGGACCCCAUGCUGGGAAUCUGAUCACCCCUGUAAACACAAUGAUAACGUUGUGUCCAGACGCUGGGAGAAGACAAUGCUCCCGAAUUCCCUUUUCCUAAUUAGAGUUUGAAACAAAGGGUGGGAAAUCUACGCUUCCGCCCACCCCCAGUCAUUAUCUAUUGGCCUUCAUUUCUGGGCAUUGAUUGAGCUUAGGGUAUUUUUGUGUGUGUGAAGGAACAGCAAAUUAAAAUUCAGAAUUCUCCCUUUUGUCUUCCUAGACUGUUCAUCUUGUUAGAAUGCUGGGGUUGACAGAGAUUAAAAGUCAGAAGUAGGUGAUUUGGGAGCCUUUAUAUGCUUGCAUGAACCAGAGCAACUUCCUUUUCAAAUUUAUUCCAAUAAGCAAGCACUUAACCAAGGCAGACGAUGGGAUGUGAGUUCAUAAAGAAAUUUCAUAGGGAACUCUUUUGGUGAGGGAACGACACAGACAAGCACCUUCGCCAAAUGGUGGGCAAACACCUUGUCUUCUGAGUGUCUAAUGAUUUUGCUACAUCACCUGUUACUCUGCUAAUAGGGACCAGCUAUAUUAUGAAGCAAUAUUUUCCUUUUUUUAAAAUCUGAAAUGCCCAGGUCCCUGAGGAUGUCUGGUGCAGGGGAGUGCCUGUGCAUGUCCUUCUGAGUGGCACUUCCGGCUGGCACCAUCAGAGAGACACAGUCAUCACCAGCAAUCAAGCCAUACUAAGUCAAUUUACAUUACGAUCGCCCUGCAGAGUAACAGUUAAGCCAUUUAGAUGGAAAAAUCUCCCAGGCUCCUGCAAAAAGGAUCACUGGCAUUGCAGAUAUAAAACACUGUGUUCUCUUGGAAUUCAACCAGCCAGGACAAAGACUAGGUGACCAAAUUCUCUGCUCAGUAACUGAAACGUCCUGUAAAGGGAACCCUCUCAGCCCGCACAGGACAAGUAAGUAAGUCCGUUUCCAAAGGCAGUUGGCAAACCUCCAUCUCUCAAGCUUCUCAGACUGGCCAGCUGUGUCAGUGAACUUGGCGCCAUCAUUCCCUGGUGGAGAAGCAGCGGCACUCUAGAGGGGCGGGACGGGGCGGGAGGUGGGAGGGAGACUCAAGAGGGAGGUGUAUGCCUAUGGCUGAUUCAUGUUGAUGUUUGCAGAAACCAAGACAAUUCUGUAAAGCAAUUCUCCUUCAAUUGAAACAUAAAUUAAUCUCAAAAGAAAAAAAAGUAGCCGCACAAACACACCCAUCAGUGAAGGUCACGGUGGCUGCUAUGAUGUGAUAGAAAAAAAAAGAAAAUUCUUGCUCACAUAAAGUCCAGACUGAGUAUUCUUGAUCAGUGGGGUGACCAGGCUUCAUCCAGUGACUCGGAGACUCUGGCUCUUUUCAUCUCGUGGCCCCUACCGUCUUUAAAGUGUGGUUUCCAAACCUGCAGUGGGGAAUGGGGGAUGAAUGGUUGCAUGUGGAGAGUCUGAAUGGGUCAGACCUGAAGGGCCAACACCACUUCUACCAAUAGUUUACUGGCCAGGGCAGUCACGCGGCCACAGCUAAACACCAGAGAGGCUGGGAAGUGAAGUACAGCUGUGUGCCAGGAUGAGGACAAUGGAUGGUGAUGCUC
ensembl:lncRNA